UACGUAGGGUGCGAGCGUUGUCCGGAAUUAUUGGGCGUAAAGAGCUCGUAGGCGGUGUGUCACGUCGGCCGUGAAAACCUGCAGCUUAACUGUGGGCGUGCGGUCGAUACGGGCAUCACUGGAGUUCGGCAGGGGAGAUCGGAAUUCCUGGUGUAGCGGUGAAAUGCGCAGAUAUCAGGAAGAACACCGGUGGCGAAGGCGGGGUCUCUGGGGCAACAACUGACGCUGAGGAGCGAAAGCGUGGGGGAGCAAACAGG
rnacentral:rRNA from 1 species